CCUACGGGAGGCAGCAGUUAGGAAUAUUGGACAAUGGGGGCAACCCUGAUCCAGCCAUGCCGCGUGUGUGAAGAAGGCCUUAGGGUUGUAAAGCACUUUCAGCUGUGAAGAUAAUGACAGUAGCAGAAGAAGAAGCUCCGGCUAAAUUCGUGCCAGCAGCCGCGGUAAUACGAAUGGAGCGAGCGUUGUUCGGAAUCACUGGGCGUAAAGGGUGCGCAGGCGGUUAUGAAAGUUAGAAGUGAAAUCCCAGGGCUUAACCCUGGAAUGGCUUUUAAAACUCCAUGACUAGAGUACUGGAGAGGUUGGCGGAAUUCCGAGUGUAGAGGUGAGAUUCGCAGAUAUUCGGAGGAACACCAAUGGCGUAGGCAGCCAACUGGACAGUAACUGACGCUCAUGCACGAAAGCGUGGGGAUCAAACAGGAUUAGAUACCCUGGUAGUCCACGCCUUAAACGAUGUGUGCUAGUUGUCGGGUUCUUAGAACUCGGUGACGCNGCUACGCUUAGUCACACCGCCGUGGAGUACGUCGCGAGAUAACUACAAGAGAGUAGACGCGNGAGAGNGCGACGACGACGACGAGGAGAG
rnacentral:rRNA from 1 species